AUGGUAGGAUAGAGGCCUACCAUGGUGGUAACGGGUAACGGGGUGUUAGGGCACGACACCGGAGAGGGAGCCUGAGAAACGGCUACCACAUCCAAGGAUGGCAGCAGGCGCGCAAAUUACCCAAUCCCGACACGGGGAGGUAGUGACAAUAAAUAACAAUACGGGGUUCUUUAGGAUCUCGUAGUUGGAAUGAGUACAAUUUAAAUCUCUUAACGAGGAACAAUUGGAGGGCAAGUCUGGUGCCAGCAGCCGCGGUAAUUCCAGCUCCAAUAGCGUAUAUUAAAGUUGUUGCAGUUAAAAAGCUCGUAGUUGAAUUUCGGGGUCAGUAGGUCGGUCGUGCCACUGGUAUGAACUGGUUUUACUGAUUCCUCCCUCUUGAAGAACUGUAAUGCCAUUAAUUUGGUGUUGCAGGGAAUCAGGACUGUUACUUUGAAAAAAUUAGAGUGUUUAACGCAGGC
rnacentral:rRNA from 1 species